UAUUUUUAAAUAUAUUUUGAUGUUAAUUAAUUACAUAAUAUAAUUUUAAUUUCAAAUUAUAACUCUUAUUCUUCUUGUUCCAAUCUAACCAUCCAAACACUAUUUAUCUUAUUCCUAAAAACAACACAAUUUUCAUCCAAACGCAAAAUUGGUAUAGUUCCUGCUUAUACUUGAACUUGUAUCUAUUUUUGAAACUAGCAGUUCUUAUUUAUACCCGAACCAAACGCAGCCUAACUUCCAAGGUCACUGUUAUUGUCGUGAUUGAUACAGCACAAGAUCUUUGUCACGUCGCCAUCGUUGAUUAGUUAGGUGUUUUAUUUCUUUAUUUUGUCCUGAACAUUUGCAACGUUAACUUCAGCCUGUGGAUGCACUUUUUUCAACUUGAUUUGGAGAAAGAAGCGUAUUAGUACCUGAAUAGAAAUACUUAAAUAGAGCCCUGUCGCUUCAGCCGUAGUGGGCAAGGCCCAUUACUACCCAUUAAUUCCCAAUUUUUCUUCUUUUUAUUAUUAACUAGUGAAAGAGGCCGUCGCUUUACAGCAGGUAAAAAUUAUAAUAGUAAUUAAUAAUAAAAAAAUAUUAAAUAUUCUCUUGUAUAUCUUAUUUGAUAUGUCCACCAAAUGCAUGUCAUGGCGGAAAGGGAAAGUGGACGCGCAUUAGUGAGAGAGAGGGAGGGAACGAGGGAAGCAAAAGAUGAGAGAUAGAGAAUUGAUGAAUAGAUUGGAGAUAAAAAAUUAAAAGUCUAGUGGAGGAAAGGAAAAUGACCAUAAUGAAUAAUUGGAGAUAGAGAGGUUAGGAUUGUAAGAUGGUAGUGAGAUCAUUUAAACAUACUAAUUGAAAGUUUGAUAGUGGAAUCGUUUGCAUUAAUUGAAAGUAUAGUGGAGGGAAUGGAAAGGGUCAUAAUGAAUAAUUGUAGAUAGAAACGGUAGAAUGGUAGAUGAUAGUAGAACCAUUUAAAUAUUUUAAUUGAAAGUUUUGUUAGUGGAACCAUUUAAAUACAUUAAUUGAAAGUUUUGUUUGUGGAACAAUUUAAAUACAUUAAUUGAAAGUUUAGUGAGAGAAAAAAGAAAGAGUCACAUUCUAGUGAGGGUAAAAAAAAUUUAUUACCAUAUGGCAAUAAACAUUAAAAAUUCAUGUAAGUUAAUAGAUGGUAGUGCUCAGCUUUAACUUGCUCCCACACAAGGCAUUGAAACACAUAUCGGGCAAUGUCUACGUUCAUCCCAACCCGCCGAAAAGUCUCUUUUAAGUCUCGAUAUAGUGUAUAGAAUAUAUAUGCGGUAGAAUGCGCCUCUUCAAAAUUUUC
rnacentral:lncRNA from 1 species